AUUUGGUCCAAUUAUAAACAGACCAAAUUCAAAUGACCCUUAAUUGAUCCCAUUUGAAUCCGAAUUCAGACAAUGGAAUACCGUUUGCAGCCCUAAUGCUCAAUCCAAGGCACAGAUUAGUAGUAGCAUUAUAUGAAAUAUCUAUCGAUUUGGCAGAAUAGUAUUCUUAGAUGUGAGAAGCCCUUACAAUGAAAAAAAUUUAUUGCUUAGUUACCAACAAAGAGAGCUCCGGCUGAGGGAGAACUCUAUGUUGAAUAGGUGCUGCUCUGCUAGAGAGCUGUUGAUCAUCUCGCUGCAAGAGAAAACUGAUCUUACUUAGAAAUUGUUUUCUGUUUUUCCUGAUAGUCUCUUGUCUGUGGUUCGGUUAGAGAGGAGUCAAUGGAGAUUACUGAAGCAGGAAAGGAGAAAGAACAACCAAAAGCACUGAUCGAGAACUCUGAGAAAGGGUUGGUCUCUAUGCAAAGGUAAUCUCGGAUAAGCCCCUUAAUGUAUCAGGAGUAAUAGAACAAAUCAAAAACAUGUAGUGGUGGGUUAAAGGGGAGAUACAGAUAGAACGAGCAAGUGAAAACCUUCUAUGGAUUUUCUUUUCUAGAGAAAAAGAUGGAAAGAAUGUGACGAGGGAUGAACCGUGGGUAGUGAAAGAGCCUCAUCCUGAAAGAAUAUACUGAUGACAUCUUGCCUUCAGAUGUAAAGCUAAACACUCUGGACAUGUGGGUAAGAAUUCUGUAUGUACGAAUGGCCUACAGAACCGAAGAAUCUGGAGCUCUUCUGGCUCAGACUGCUGGGGAGGUGGUGGAGAUGUUUGAGACUAAGAGUGAAAAUAGACAUUACAAAACCACUUGAAGUGGGAGCAAAGGGAAACUUAGGGGACGGGAAGGAAAGCUGGUUCUCAUUCCAGUAUGAGAACUUACCAAUCUUCUGUUACAAGUGUGGAGUGUUGGGGCACCUCAAAAAAGCUUGCAAAGAUACUACAGAUACCAGCAAACAAAUGGAAUCCUUAACUACCAAAAUAAAGGAACAAUGCUUGGACGAAUCCAAAGCCUUGACUGGAUAUGGGCCAUGGCUGAGAGAUGGAGUUGGAGAAGAAGAUGAUAGGUUCCUGAAUAUUGAGAAGAAGAAAAAAGAACAAGGAAGAGCCAAGUCUGAGAUCCACAACCAAAAAGAAGAAUCCACAAAUGAAGGAAGAACAGCAAGAAAACCAGGAGAGGUCUCAGAUGAAACCAGUUUGGAUGGCAUGGUCGAAUGAAGAAAAGAUCUGGAGGAUAGAACAGAAAGUGCAGAAUGCAAAGAUCUUACCAGAACCCCGGUGAGAAGGAAGCUCUUCAAUGAAGAGUACGGCAAUGAAGAGGGUCUGACUCCCAUGGAGGAAACUCACCGGAGCUUCAAUGUAGUUCUGUCUCCGGCGAGCUUUUUCCGGCAAAGCAGGCCGAGCAGAGAGGAGGUGACGUGGAAGAGAAGCAACAUCAACACCAGCCGCACAAGUUUUUCCUUGCCUGGCUAGUGGCUACCUAGGAGGGAAAGGACAAACAGAUCUGGUUACUGAUCUGCACAAAAUGGGUAAGACGUGCCUAACACUGCAAGUCUUUCCAAACAUGGAAGGUGAAAGGAUUUUUUCGAAAACAGAGGAGAGGAAAUGCUUAUUUCUAUCAAAAAGAAAACAGAGGAUGAGAUGGAAGCAUCCUCAGAAGUUAUCGAUAGCUGUGCCAAUCAAGAAGAGAAAAACAAGGAAGGUGAAGGGAUGGACACGCGCAGGCGAUCUGAUACAGUGAACACAGACCAGAAUCCGGAUCCAAACCCAAAUAAAAACCUGGAAGCAAACGGGGAUCCAAAUCUGAAUCCGACCACGGUUUCUAACCUAGACAAAAACCCAAACUUGAAAAUGGACUCAGAUUUGGACCCAAACCCAAAUCACCAAGAAAAAAACUGUGGAAAAGGGGAUCUUCGACUGACUGAACUAAGCAGAGAGAAGAGGGGGAGAUCUCUGAGCCAGGAAGAGGAGGCGCAAGACUUGACCAAACGAAGGAAGAAAAGGGCCAAGCAAUGGAUGAUAUUGAAGGUGAGAUCCUCAGCUUCUUCAAGAGCGAUAUUGAGCAACAAACACCAAUCACCACAACCUGGAGGCUGGAGCUGGCCGGCGAACAGUGAAUAAGUCAAUAGUGGAGAGAUAUCAUCUCUGACAGCAGAAAUCAGAAAACUCUUCCAAGAUUAGUCAAAGCAUGAAGGAUGUUUUUUGGACUCCACCAAAACAAGGCAUCAUGAAAGUUAAUAUUGAUGGUGGUUUUUUGGAAUCUUCUAGACAUGCUUCUUUUGGCUUCAUUAUCAGAGACCAUUUGGGGUGUUGCUGGGGUGCGGGUUUUGGGAAAUCAAAAGUUUUGUCUCCUUUGAAAUCAGAAACUCAAGCUCUCCUAAAGCGGUUGUUUUUGCAGAUAAAAUGAACAAAUCAGAUCUCAUUUUUUUA